GUGGGGGAUAUUGCACAAUGGGGGGAACCCUGAUGCAGCGACGCCGCGUGGGUGAAGAAGCGCUCCGGCGCGUAAAGCCCUGUCAGCAGGGAAGAAGGUGACGGUACCUGACCAAGAAGCCCCGGCUAACUACGUGCCAGCAGCCGCGGUAAUACGUAGGGGGCAAGCGUUAUCCGGAUUUACUGGGUGUAAAGGGGGCGCAGACGGCUGUGCAAGCCAGGAGUGAAAGCCCGGGGCCCAACCCCGGGACUGCUCUUGGAACUGCAUGGCUGGAGUGCAGGAGGGGCAGGCGGAAUUCCUGGUGUAGCGGUGAAAUGCGUAGAUAUCAGGAGGAACACCGGUGGCGAAGGCGGCCUGCUGGACUGCAACUGACGUUGAGGCCCGAAAGCGUGGGGAGCAAACAGG
rnacentral:rRNA from 1 species